rfam:Picea glauca, whole genome shotgun sequence.
GUACAUGACUAUAGAAUUAAUGCACCAGAUCCCAUUAGAACUAUUUAGUUAAGCAUGUUUGGAAUAGAGUAGUAUUGGGAUGGGUGACCACCAGAGGAUUCCUAGUGUUUUGCAUG